UAUUUGAUAGCAUCAAAAUAUUAUAAUCCUCAAGUCAUAUUAUGAGAUGGGUUAUUUAUGACUAAAUAUAAUUAUCCUAAAUAAUAAUUUUAUUUUCCGGCAAUCGCGUGUUGUCGAGAAAUAUACCUACUACCUCUGUCCUAGAAAGACCUUGUCAUAAUAAUGAUACUAUGAGUAUAUAAUAAUAGAUUGAAAUUUUCCAUUGCAAUAAAAAUUAUACAGUAGCAUUCAAACAUAAUUUGUGUACCAAUCUUAGUUCGAUUCAAUAAUAUAUCAUUAUUAUAUAGUUAUUAAUUAUUACAAUACAAUAUCACGAUAAUAAUUUGUAUUUGUUAACUAAGGAGAACCGGAUAGGUUUUAUUUUACAUAUUUAAAAUGCCGUUGAUUCGGUCUAUAUGUUAAUAAAAUUAUUAAUAUUAAUAUUAUCAACAGAUAAACUGCUCAAACCUAUGAGGCACCUAUGAGGUAAAGUCAAAGUCUAAAUUGGUACCCAGAAUUUGCCAACACCAGCACAUCUUCAUUUUUGAAAUUUCUGGACGAAUUACUCGAUAACGUUCUAUUUUAUACUAAAUUAAAUUUAUUGCAGUUGUCCUAUAGCAAUUUGUUGAUGGUUUAUAACAAGUACAAUAUCGUCAAAUUUCAUAUAUAAUCGAUUUUCGAAAAAGCUUAUAUCAUCGACAUAUGAUAUUGAAAAAAAAAAACU